rnacentral:rRNA from 1 species
GAUGAACGCUGGCGGCGUGCCUAAUACAUGCAAGUCGAGCGAACAGACGAGGAGCUUGCUCCUCUGACGUUAGCGGCGGACGGGUGAGUAACACGUGGAUAACCUACCUAUAAGACUGGGAUAACUUCGGGAAACCGGAGCUAAUACCGGAUAAUAUAUUGAACCGCAUGGUUCAAUAGUGAAAGGCGGUUUUGCUGUCACUUAUAGAUGGAUCCGCGCCGCAUUAGCUAGUUGGUAAGGUAACGGCUUACCAAGGCAACGAUGCGUAGCCGACCUGAGAGGGAGAUCGGCCACACGGGAAGUGAGACACGGUCCAGACUCCUACGGGAGGCAGCAGUAGGGAAUCUUCCGCAAUGGGCGAAAGCCUGACAGAGCAACGCCGCGUGAGUGAUGAAGGUCUUCGGAUCGUAAAACGCUGUUAUUAGGGAAGAACAAAUGUGUAAGUAACUAUGCACGUCUUGACGGUACCUAAUGAGAAAGCCACGGCUAACUACGUG